UACGGAGACUGCGAGCGUUACUCGGAUUCACUGGGCGUAAAGGGUGCGCAGGCGGCUAGGUGUGUCAGAUGUGAAAUUUUGAAGCUCAACUUCAAAUCUGCGUCUGAAACUACUUAGCUAGAGUAUUGGAGGGGUAAGCGGAAUUCCUAGUGUAGCAGUGAAAUGCGUAGAUAUUAGGAGGAACACCAAGGGCGAAGGCAGCUUACUGGAAAAUAACUGACGCUCAUGCACGAAAGCGUGGGGAGCAAAAGGG
rnacentral:rRNA from 1 species